UACGAGGGGGGCAAGCGUUGUUCGGAAUCACUGGGCGUAAAGGGAGCGUAGGCGGGUUUCUAAGUCAGGUGUUUAAUCCCGGGGCCCAACCCCGGACAGGCACUUGAAACUGGGAAUCUUGAAUAGUGGAGAGGUCAGUGGAAUUGGGGGUGUAGCGGUGGAAUGCGUAGAGAUCCCCAAGAACACCAGUUGCGAAGGCGGCUGACUGGACACAUAUUGACGCUGAGGCUCGAAAGCAUGGGGAGCAAACAGG
rnacentral:rRNA from 1 species